rnacentral:ncRNA from 2 species
AUAAUUAAUGGCGAUGGAGCUCGCCAAAACCGCUAUUCCAGUGAAAAGAUUGCAUCUGGAAGGCUGAUGGCUCCUACUUUCCU